GGGAGCGCCGGUGUUAUUUGUG
rnacentral:siRNA from 1 species